UGCAGAAAAGAACUGCCCAGAGAUGCUGUGACCACCUGAUAUACUGCUUACAGGAGUAAUCAGGCUCCUGGACUCACCAGGAGCAGAACUGGGUUAGCAGCCAGUAUUUUUUAACAUCUCAGCCCAAGUAUAGAUCAAUCAACAAGAUGGGGAAGAAAGGAAACAGUUCAUUCCCAUUCUUCAGACAGAUUAGACUAUGGUGGUGUUCCAGAUACUGCAAGACUGCUUUGAUCUCCCCAACAAGAGAUUUGUUUAUCAUAAU